AGUGAACGCUGGCGGUAGGCCUAACACAUGCAAGUCGAACGGCAGCACAGUAAGAGCUUGCUCUUACGGGUGGCGAGUGGCGGACGGGUGAGGAAUACAUCGGAAUCUACUUUUUCGUGGGGGAUAACGUAGGGAAACUUACGCUACUACCGCAUACGACCUACGGGUGAAAGCAGGGGAUAUUCGGACCUUGCGCGAUUCAAUUAGCCGAUGUCGGAUUAGCUAGUUGGCGGGGUAAAGGCCCACCAAGGCGACGAUCCGUAGCUGGUCUGAGAGGAUGAUCGGCCACACUGGAACUGAGACACGGUCCAGACUCCUACGGGAGGCAGCAGUGGGGAAUAUUGGACAAUGGGCGCAAGCCUGAUCCAGCAAUACCGCGUGAGUGAAGAAGGCCUUCGGGUUGUAAAGCCCUUUUGUUGGGAAAGAAAAGCAGCAGGUUAAUACCCCGCUGUUCUGACGGUACCCAAAGAAUAAGCACCGGCUAACUUCGUG
rnacentral:rRNA from 1 species